CCAAACAUCCCAAAGAAACACAACCUUGCCUUUCCUUUGUACUUUUUUGUGAAAAGCAGGUGAUGCUGAGACGUUUUACAGUCCCAGCUCGGUGAAAGUCUUUCAUAUAAAUGACUCAGGUGAUAUGUGAGUGACAGGAAUCGUCGUGACACUGAUUGAGCUGUGGUGGCUCCACGCAGAAGACUUUUGUCUCUGCAGUUGGGAUGAGUGGCAGCUAAAGACCUGCUUAAUAAUUUCUGCCAUGAAAGAGGGGAAAAUAAUAUGGGAGGGUGGAAUUGAUCCCUCUGAACUGAUCAAUCUCUUCCUUCAUUUUCUUCUGGGCUCUGUGUUGGGAUGAUGAAGACUGUUCCUCUUUGAAGGACCUUGCAUGACCAGCUGAGGAAUGAUGAUGGUAUGAAGAGGGUUCAAAAACUCCCUCUUUUUCUCACCAUCUUUCCCAGAGAUCAUAACCUGAAACAGAGGGAGGAAAACUGUUCUGGCAAAGAGUUCUGUCAAUAAAGCCCUGCCUUUGCUCUCUGGCUGGAGGGCUUGAAAUGGGGUGAAAAAUCAUAGCAAUGUUUAUUUUACAGAAGAUAAGCUUUAAGCUGAAUGUAUUACGGUUUUUUGGCUUACAGUAAUCAAGGAUUUUUUUUCCUAAAAAUAAGAAAAUAACUGCCCAAUCUCCAACUUCAUUUUAACAUGAAAAAUGUUGGUUUCUUGACAAUUGUUAGAAAAAGGAUUUCCGUAUGAAAACCUAAUGAAUGGCUCAAAAGUUGAUUAAGAAGGGAGAUGCUAAGUCAAAGUUUUCUAGCUAGAAAUAGUGAUUUAUUAUCCAGCUAUCUUUGCAAAUGACAAAAUAACUAAUUAGAUACAAUUCAUCAUCUGAACUUCAAGCUGCCACUAGUGUAAGAUAGAAGGUUUUAUGAACAAUUCAUAGUCCCAAUUUUGAUCUAAAUGUAGCAUAGUGUGUAUUGAGAGUUAGUCUAAGACACUGAGGCACUGGGAAAGGCUUAAUAAGAUUCUGAAAUUCUGCCCCCCUGUAGAUUUUUUUCCUAAUGAAGGAUUUGAAAAGGGCGUUUUAGAGUGAUGUUUUAUAUGGUAGCAGUCUUUUCCCAUAAAACAUCAACCAUAAUAAUUAUUUUUAUGCAGAUCCUGAGGCACAGAGAGAUUAAAUGACUUUCUCAAGGUCAGACAGCGAGUCAGAGGCAGAACCAGUGAAUGAAUAAAAAGCCAAGCCAUAUCAGCCUUAGGAGAAAGGGACAGUGCAGGCUGUGGUAAAUACUCAAGAUGUGAGGAGGCCACGGGGAGAAGGAAGAGCUGCAGAUAACUUCCUUCCUAUCAGCACUUGAUGAAAAUUCAUUACUGAUGUC